rnacentral:rRNA from 1 species
AUUGAACGCUGGCGGCAGGCCUAACACAUGCAAGUCGAACGAGUGGCGGACGGGUGAGUAAUGUCUGGGAAACUGCCUGAUGGAGGGGGAUAACUACUGGAACCGGUAGCUACUCCCGCAUACCAUCGGAUGUGCCCAGAUGGGAUUAGCUAGUAGGUGGGGUAAAGGCUCACCUAGGCGACGAUCCCUAGCUGGUCUGAGAGGAUGACCAGACACACGGGAACUGGGACACGGUCCAGAAUCCGACGGGAGGCAGCAGGGGGGAAUAUUGCACCAUGGGCGCAAGCCUGAUGAAGCCAUGCCGCGUGGAUGAAGAAGGCCUUCGGGUUGUAAAGUACUUUCAGCGGGGAGGCGUUACCCGCAGAAGAAGCACCGGCUAACUUCGUGCCAGCAGCCGCGGUAAUAC